rnacentral:rRNA from 1 species
GACGAACGCUGGCGGCGUGCUUAACACAUGCAAGUCGAACGGUAAGGCCCUUCGGGGUACACGAGUGGCGAACGGGUGAGUAACACGUGGGUGAUCUGCCCUGCACUUCGGGAUAAGCCUGGGAAACUGGGUCUAAUACCGGAUAGGACUCCUGGCUUCAUGGUUGGGGGUGGAAAGCUUUUGCGGUGUGGGAUGGGCCCGCGGCCUAUCAGCUUGUUGGUGGGGUAAUGGCCUACCAAGGCGACGACGGGUAGCGGGCCUGAGAGGGUGACCGGUCACAGUGGGGCUGAGAUACGGCCCAGACUCCUACGGGAGGCAGCAGGGGGGAAUAUUGCACAAUGGGCGCAAGCCUGAUGCAGCGACGCCGCGUGAGGGAUGACGGCCUUCGGGUUGUAAACCUCUUUCAGCUAUGACGAAGCGCAAGUGACGGUAGUAGCAGAAGAAGGACCGGCCAACUACGUGCCAGCCGCCGCAGUAA